GGCUGGAGUGUCUGAGGUUCACCAUCACUGGCCUAGGCUAUAAGAAGAUUGCCAACACUCUGAAACUGAACUGUAGCACGGUGGCCAAUACCAUACAGUGGUUUAACUAGACAGGUUACACUCAUAACAGGCCUUGCAAGGGUCAACCAAAGAAGUUGAAUGCACAAGCACAGCGUUAUAUCCAGAGGUUGUAUGAGUGCUUCCAGCAUUGCUGCAGAGGUUAAAGGGGUGGGGGGCAGCCUCUCAGUGCUCAGACCAUACGCUGCAAACUGCAUCAAAUUUGUCUGCAUGGCUGUUGUCCCAGAAGGAAGCAUUUUCUAAAGAUGAUGCACAAGAAAACCCGCAAACAGUUUUCUGAAAACAAGCAGACUAAGGACAUGGAUUACUGGAACCAUGUCCUGUGGUCUGAUGAGACCAAGAUAAAUGUAUUUGGUUCAGAUG